rnacentral:sRNA from 1 species
AAAAUAUGAUUCAAAGUAAAAAUGAAAAAUAUAUGAAAAUGGGUAUUAAACGAUAGAAGAAAAGAAUUUUAAUUAAAAAUACAAAAAUAAUAUGGGGAUUUGCAAAACUAUCAUUUUUCUACUCUCUUUUUACAAUAAUACCCUUUUCUAUUGUCCAUUUUUAAAAAUACCUCUUUUGUUGAACAAAAUAACCAAAUUACCCUUAUCUAAUGAGAACAUGUAAUUUGAAACUGAAAUUUUCCCGCCAAAAUAACUGAAAUUACCCUUAUUUCCCGCAAAAAUCUUUUUUUUUUUUCUCGCCAAAUUGUUUUCUCCGUAACAAAUAUUUUCCCGGAAAAAAAAAUUCGAAUUUUUUUUGGCGGGAAAUUUUUAAACCAUUUUAAUACUUCACCGUUGAUAACCCUUUUCCGAUUGAUCCUCUACACCUUAUACGCUUUCUCUCAGAACCAUUAUCUUUUUUAACAUAUCAUAUCGGUAUUCUUUUCUUUUAUUUUCUAUCACACUGAUGAAAAUAUAUAUAUUUAGAGUCUGACUGGUUUAAACGCAACAGGUGCGGUUGCGGUUGCGGGAGUUUGCGGAAACGGGUGGUUGCGGUUUCAAGCGUUAUCAAGCGUUUUGAACGACUGGUUGAGCGUUUGAUAAUGGGUGCGUCUGCGGAAGUUUAUGACUGGUAAACCAGCGGGUGCGAUAGUAAUUAAAUAAAAAUAACCAAAAUAAAUAUAAUAUAUUACUAGAAAUAAAAAUACA